AAGAACCCUGGGGAAGGAAGUGAACUCUGAGGACAGGAGUGUCUGCAUCCCCUUCUUGGCCCACCAGCAGCCCCUGCCCUUACUCCACAACCCACCUCGCCCCCAGCAGAAGAUGCCAGAUUAGAGACCCCAUCUGAUUGUCCUCUACACCCUCUCCCUGGCCUCAGGAAGCUAACCUCUGCCGGUAGCCAAAAACCCAAGGCUCUGACUAGACUGAUCUUCUGAUUUCUGGUUGUUCUAACUUCAAACUCAGGAACAGGAGCCAUAAGUGGGCCCCUAUUACCUCCCAACGAUCACUCUCUAGGUCCUAACCUGUUACCCUUCUCUUGACUGUCACUUACUAUCUUUUCUCUCAAACCUCCAGUGCCGCCUCCUCUUCCUCACUCUGAGCUGUUCCUCCCGUUUUACUGAGCAAAUAGAAAACACCCCAAAAGAGUUUCCAGCAGCUCCCACCCCUGCCUCCCUGCCUCCCUGCUAGUUAUCAUUACUUUCUCCAGGGUGCUUAGCACUGUCUAACACACCACGUGUUGUAUGACAAUUAACUUGCUGUUGUCUGUGUCCACAUUAGAAUGGAAGCUCCAUGAGGGCAGAGGUGGUAUUCAUUUGUUUACCGCUAUGUUCUCGCACUUAAAACAAUGCCUGGGAUGCAGGAGGUACUCACUAAAUGUUUCGUGGGUAAAUAAAUAAAUGAUUGAAUAAUUCCUU